rnacentral:tRNA from 1 species
GCCUGGAUAGCUCAGUAGGUAGCGCAUCAGACUUUUAAUCUGAGGGUCCAGGGUUCAAGUCCCUGUUCGGGCG